GCCAAUGUGGCUCAAUGGAUAGAGCAUCGCUUUCCUACUUUUCACAGGCGAAGGUUGUGGGUUCGACCCCCAUCAUUGGUU